AGUGGGCCAAUUCUGUGUGUCACAGAAUUGCAGCGAUUCUGGUGCAGAAAGCUCUGGUGACCCUGAUGUGCUGCCUGAAUAUUUUGAUCUCUUCUAAAUCUAUGCAGUUUUUGUGC
rnacentral:lncRNA from 1 species